UACGUAGGGUGCGAGCGUUGUCCGGAAUUACUGGGCGUAAAGAGCUCGUAGGUGGUUUGUCGCGUUGUUCGUGAAAACUCACAGCUUAACUGUGGGCGUGCGGGCGAUACGGGCAGACUGGAGUACUGCAGGGGAGACUGGAAUUCCUGGUGUAGCGGUGGAAAUGCGCAGAUAUCAGGAGGAACACCGGUGGCGAAGGCGGGUCUCUGGGCAGUAACUGACGCUGAGGAGCGAAAGCGUGGGGAGCGAACAGGA
rnacentral:rRNA from 1 species